rnacentral:rRNA from 1 species
AAACCUGCAUCUGACUGGGGAAUAACAGCUCUAACGGGCUGCUAAUACCGCAUAACGCUACGGAUCGCAUGUUCUGUAGUUAAAGAUGGCCUCUACAUGUAAGCUGUCGGUUGGAUAUGGUCCCGCGUCCUAUUAGCUUGUUGGUGGGGUAACGGCUCACCAAGGCAACAAUGGGUAGCCGGCUUGAGAGAGUGGUCGGCCACACUGGGACUGAGAUACGGCCCAG